AAAAAAGUACACACGCACUCUAAGAAUGAGCAAUAACCACAAACUCAAGGACUCAGGAGGCUAGCAAUUGACUUGCACAGAGCCUAGCAAUUCUUUGGCACUGAAUAAUGGUCCGACAUACAAAGAUUACACUUUCUGUCGAGUUCGCUAUCAGUUGUAACUACUCAAUAAAUGUUACAACAGCCUCAUUGAACAGAAGAAAAUUACUGUCAAGAAGCUGAUGGACUCAGAAUUUCAGGCACGACCUUCCUCAGUAAACAUCAAAUUAUCUAAAACCAUAUGCAGUUGAUGUUGCAUUGAUCUUGAACCAAGUGUGAAAUAUUGUACAGU
rnacentral:misc_RNA from 1 species